GAGCAACGCUGGCGGCGUGCUUACACAUGCAAGUCGAACGAUGAUGGCCGUGCUUGCACGGCUGGAUUAGUGGCGAACGGGUGAGUAACACGUGAGUAACCUGCCCUCCACUUCGGGAUAACCUCGGGAAAUCGGGGCUAAUACCGGAUAUGAGCACCUACUGCAUGGUGGGUGUUGGAAAGUUUUUCGGUGGGGGAUGGACUCGCGGCCUAUCAGCUUGUUGGUGAGGUAGUGGCUCACCAAGGCGUUGACGGGUAGCCGGCCUGAGAGGGCGACCGGCCACACUGGGACUGAGACACGGCCCAGACUCCUACGGGAGGCAGCAGUGGGGAAUAUUGCACAAUGGGCGAAAGCCUGAUGCAGCGACGCCGCGUGAGGGAUGACGGCCUUCGGGUUGUAAACCUCUUUCAGCAGGGAAGAAGCGAGAGUGACGGUACCUGCAGAAGAAGCGCCGGCUAACUACGUGCCAGCAGCCGCGGUAAUACGUAGGGCGCAAGCGUUGUCCGGAAUUAUUGGGCGUAAAGAGCUUGUAGGUGGCUUGUCGCGUCUGCCGUGAAAACCCGAGGCUCAACCUCGGGCGUGCGGUGGGUACGGGCAGGCUAGAGUGUGGUAGGGGAGACUGGAACUCCUGGUGUAGCGGUGAAAUGCGCAGAUAUCAGGAAGAACACCGAUGGCGAAGGCAGGUCUCUGGGCCAUUACUGACACUGAGAAGCGAAAGCAUGGGGAGCGAACAGGAUUAGAUACCCUGGUAGUCCAUGCCGUAAACGUUGGGCACUAGGUGUGGGGGACAUUCCACGUUUUCCGCGCCGUAGCUAACGCAUUAAGUGCCCCGCCUGGGGAGUACGGCCGCAAGGCUAAAACUCAAAGGAAUUGACGGGGGCCCGCACAAGCGGCGGAGCAUGCGGAUUAAUUCGAUGCAACGCGAAGACCCUUACCAAGGCUUGACAUGCACUGGACAGCUGCAGAGAUGUGCCUUCUUUGG
rnacentral:rRNA from 1 species